ensembl:lncRNA
GUUCUCUCUACAGUCAGAGCUCGCGAAAGAAGGUGGAAGAAAGCAACCAUGUAAUGCCUCAGGAGUCUGUAGAGGGGACGAAGACGCGUUCUGCUGCACUUAACAGAGCUCAAGACCAACGGGACGCCAUCAGGACGCCAUCAGGACGCCACGUCAACGGGACGCCAUCAGGACGCCACGUCAACGGGACGCCAUCAGGACCUCACGUCAACCCCUCAGGAGCAAAUCCAGAUCUACGCAUGACACACACACACACACCCCCACACACACACACACAGAUGUACACACAGACACACUAACAUUUGGUUCUAAACAAAGACACACACUAACAUUUAGAUGUACACAAAGACACAUUAAUAUUUAGAUGUACACACAGACACACUAACAAUUAGAUGUACACACAGACACACUAUCAUUUGGUUCUAAACAAAGACACACACUAAUAUUUAGAUGUACACACAGACACACUAACAAUUAGAUGUACACACAGACACAUCCUGAUGAUCCUCCUCACGUCUCUUCUCCUUGUCUGCAGACCAACAGGACGCCAUCAGGACGCCAUCAGGACGCCACGUCAUCGGGACGCCAUCAGGAAACCACGUCAUCGGGACGCCAUCAGGACGCCAUCAGGACACCUCGUCAACCCCUCAGGAGCAAAUCCAGAUCUACUCAUGACACACACACACACACACACACACACACACACACACACAGAUGUACUCACAGACACACUAACAUUUGGUUCUAAACAAAGACACACACUAAUAUUUAGAUGUACACAAAGACACAUUAAUAUUUAGAUGUACACACAGACACACUAACAAUUAGAUGUACACACAUACACACUAUCAUUUGGUUCUAAACAAAGACACACACUAAUAUUUAGAUGUACACAAAGACAUAUUAAUAUUUAGAUGUACAAACAGACACACUAACAUUUAGAUGUACACACAGACACACUAACAAUUAGAUGUACACACAGACACACUAACAUUUGGUUCUACACAAAGACACACACUGACAUUUAGAUGUACACAAAGACACAAUAACAAUUAGAUGUACACACAGACACAUUAGUAUUCAGAAUUACACAAAAACACACAAACAUCUGGUUCUGCACAAAAACACAUUAAUAUUUAAAUGUACCCACGGACCCACUAACAAUUAGAUCCACACACAGACACACUAACAAUUAGAUGUACACACGGACACAUCCUGAUGAUCCUCCUCACGUCUCUUCUCCUUGUCUGCAGACCAACAGGACGCCAUCAGGACGCCACGUCAUCGGGACGCUACGUCAUCGGGACACACUAACAAUUAGAUGUACACACAGACACACUAACAUUUGGUUCUAAACAAAGACACACUAACAUUUAGAUGUACAAAAAGACACACACUAAUAUUUAGAUGUACACAAAGACACACACUAAUAUUUAGAUGUACACAAAGACACACUAACAAUUAGAUGUACACACAGACACACUAACAACAUUAAUAUGUAAAUAACUUUUCUUCUUUUCUCUCUUCUCAGGAACUGCUUCAGAUGUUUUCCCAAUGAUUGUGUUAUUAUAAUUGUUAAAUAUGUCGUCUGUUUAUUAUUUUAACAAUGAAAAUAAAUUUUAAUAAAAAUAAAACCAAAUGAA